GUGGAGCCAAGUCAUGUUCAAUUUCAGUGUCUUAGAUAUGAAGAGUGGUUUGGGUUGGAGGGGACCUUAAAGACUAUCUAGUUCUGCUCCCCUGCCUCCCACCAGACCAUGUUUCCCAAAGCCUCGUUCAACUUGGCCUUCAUCACUGCCAGGGAUAAGGCAUCUACAGCUUCUCUGGGCAGCCUGGGCCAGGGCCUCAGCACACUCUGAGUGAAUGCUACCAAAUACUUCAACCUGAGAGAAGAAAAUAUUUUUUCUUUACAACAAUUAAAAUGGCUAUGCAUCUGCUAACAUGGGAAUCUUCAACAGUCACUUAUGUGGAAACAAAUUCCACGCUGUUCUGCCAGAAGUAUCGGCUGAGAAAGAUGAGUGGAAAGAGUCAAGCUUUUCCAUAUGACUGUGUAGGUUCAGAACCUAACUUGGAAUGGUUAGCACUUUUAUUUAUUUAUUUAUUUAUUAUUUCUUGGAGUUUCAGAGAAUAUUAGAAAUUGCUUCUCUCCCUUUAUCCAAUGAAGAAUAAGAAAACCCCUGGAAGGGAAAUCCAUAUAUUAUAACUAGAGUAUCCAAAGGUUAUCCAUUUUGAAAUUUGCUUUUAUAAAAUAGGGAAGUGGGAAGUAAAAAAAAUUGCUUUUAUAAAAUUGGAUGUGGGAAGUAAAUUGGGUGAGUGAUGGGUCUCUAAUCAGUUACCACCGCACAGCAGGGAGGAAGAGAAGCCACUUCUGGCACAUCCAUCAGCCAGUCAGAGCUCUUAGGGCAGUAUCUGAUGAGAGAGAUCACUUAAAUAGAAAAACACUAUAUUUAAUAACAAAUAAAUAAAUAAAAAACACUUUCUUACUAAAUUGCAAAGUGAAAUGUCUCAAUUAAGAAAUCUUAAAGUAAAUUGCUCGUUUAGUUUUGUGUGUUUUGGUAGUCUCACCUUUGUUCUUCUGGGGAUGUUUGAUAACAUCAUCACAGGGAAGUAUCAUUACAUUUAUUUCAACUGUAGUUCAUUUAGUUUCAUGGAAGUAUUUUGUUUUGAAAAUAAUGAAGAGCUCAUUUAGUAAUGUGUGGGCUAUAUAUAUUCAAUAUUUAACAAUGUUCUGGUCCUGAAAUUGAGAGAUUUCAAAGGAAUGUAACUUCCAGUUUGCAAGAUGUUCUAUACAUCUUAGGUGCUUCAGAUAGUGUUUCUAAAUAACCAAAUUGCUGCUUAACAUCUCAAAGUUGGUAUGAUUGCUAGACAAAAAGAAAAGAUUGCAACUAGACGUGCUCUCCAGCAAUGCUGAUGACCGAGAGAUGGAUUUAUUGUGGUAAGAGUGCUUUGAUAUUGUUAGAUGUUUUAACAGGGUAUUCUAUGAUUCUGUGAUCUUGUUUUGUUUCUUUCUCUGCUAUAUCUUUCCUAACAGGAACUGAAUGAACACCUACUGGUUUACCACAUGAUUUUAUGGUGCUAUGAAACAUUCUGGAGUUCACAAUUAAGAUACUACUCUAUAGUGACUUUUUAUUUAAUCCAGAUCUUACUGUUUUGCUGUUCCUAUGUUGGCUAAUUAUAGAAAGACUGUGGAUAAAAGUAAAAUAACUUACUGUGACUAAACCAGUCCUUUUUCCCCCAUGUGCCCUUAUAGAGAUGCUGUUAACUGAUGCUGAAGUGACAAAUGGUUAAGGGGAAAAAAAAAAAGUAACAGAACAAGGUGUGCACUCUUCGUUAGAGCAGAUUGUACCGUGUUUAAGGUUUGGCUUCACAGACAAACACUCUGGCUCUUCUGAUGCCAAGUGGUUCCUUCUUAUAUUUAAGAAGAAAUGCAAGUAUGGCACUGUUUUUUAGCAUCAUUUUCCCUAUAAUUUUCAAUUUAAAGCAUAAUUGUAUAUUAUCCUAAAUUUAGAAGAAUGAGCUGCUGUAUUCUUUUUGCUCAGUGGUGAUUUGACCAAACACAGGGAGCUCUGGACUGGUCUAUCAGAGGCCACUAUUGAUCAUACUUACUGUCUAUCUGCCCAAUCUUAAUGAUUAAGGACCUGAGAGGACUGUCUGAAACUGGUUGGUUUAUUCUGAUUGUCUACCAAGAGUGAUAAAGAAAGGUCAGUGUAGAAAGAAACUGACUGCAAAGAAUACUAUUUUGUGAGUUAUAGUCUGUUCAUAGUACAAAGCAUGGUAUUUCUAAUGUGUUUAUUUUACAGACUUGAACAAGAAUUUGACUUACCCUGGAUCAGAAUGUAUAUAUGAGUUGACAUUUUCAUAAGUCUGAUUGCAUGGAAGCAACACACUCCAUUCUAGCUAAUAUAAUCUAUUUUGGUAACAGACAUUUGGGUCAGUCUGUUCUCAUACAAAUUCUUAAUAAGCACAUUCUUUUUCCCUCCUUUAUGCAGUCUGAAUAGAUGGAGAUGUAAAGCAAAUGGGUGAUCUAGAAGAAUUGCAUCUUAAUAUUUCCAAGAAAUGUUGUUAUUGUUUACUACUAUACAGUAUGAGGGCUAUAAAAAUGGAUCUUACUUUUUAUUGUAUUCUAUUCUAUGAAGUUUCAGGGUACAAUUUCAAAAUGGUAUUUUUGAGUCAAAGAAAAACUGGUAUUUCUGCAGACAGAUGGCUAAGUAUGUAGUUAUCAUGUCUGCAUGUGCAAACAAAGGUUAUUGCAGUCUCAUUGCCUGCACCUUGUUUUCAAAACUUGCCCUUCAUCUUAUUUACAGAGCUGUUUAUUAAAUAAUGUAGGAAGUUGAUUCCAGUGUACAACAUUUCACAAGGG
rnacentral:lncRNA from 1 species